rnacentral:rRNA from 1 species
UACAGAGGGUGCGAGCGUUGUCCGGAAUCACUGGGCGUAAAGGGUGAGUAGGUGGCCUGUUAAGCGUGUGGUGAAAGCCUGGGGCUCAACCCCAGGUCUGCCGUGCGAACUGACAGGCUUGAGCAGAGUAGAGGCGAGUGGAAUUUCGGGUGUAGCGGUGGAAUGCGUAGAUAUCUGGAGGAACACCGGUGGCGAAGGCGGCAUCCUGGACCGACACUGACACUGAGGAGCGAAAGCCAGGGGAGCAAACGGG